AAAGGCGUAAUGAAAGUGAAGGUUCGCCUAGCGCGAACCGAGGGAGGAUGGACGGUCUAUAGCGGCCGUCCCGCACUCCCUGGGCGUCUCGUUCUCAUCGCGAGAAGAGGCGCACCAAGAGCGUACACGCUGGGACCCGAAAGAUGGUGAACUAUGCCUGGUCAGGACGAAGUCAGGGGAAACCCUGAUGGAGGUCCGUAGCGAUUCUGACGUGCAAAUCGAUCGUCGGAACUGGGUAUAGGGGCGAAAGACUAAUCGAACCAUCUAGUAGCUGGUUCCCUCCGAAGUUUCCCUCAGGAUAGCUGGCGCUCGCUUCUCGCGAGUCUCAUUCGGUAAAGCGAAUGAUUAGAGGCAUUGGGGUCGAAACGGCCUCAACCUAUUCUCAAACUUUAAAUGGGUGAGAUCUCCGGCUUGCUUGAACUGUGAAGCCGCGAGAUAUCGGAUCAGAGUGCCAAGUGGGCCACUUUUGGUAAGCAGAACUGGCGCUGUGGGAUGAACCAAACGCCGAGUUAAAGCGCCUAAAUCGACGCUUAUGGGA
rnacentral:rRNA from 1 species